AACAAUCAUAACCACUAAAAAACAUCAGAUCUGGGAGAAAUCGUACCUCAAAGUAGCUGUCAGAGCUGUUCUUCGUGAAGAACAGUUCGUGAUGCCUACUUUGGACCUCUAUAACUUGAUGAUCGUGAAAUUUUUACGUGAUCUAUCAAUUCCAGUGUGUAGACAACAUGUAGGACUACAACUCCAACACUUAACAUCAUCAUAACAACAAUAAAUCAAGCAUCUAAAGUAUGGUCAAACCUUGUAAGAAAAAUCAACACUUAGAAAAUUCUGGGCUGCCCAGGAUUUUCCGGUCAAUGCCGGUCAACCCACUUUGACCUUAAAUAACUCUUAAUCCAUAAUAUAUAUGGACCUGAUUCGUUUUGGAGGUUAAAUACCACAUAACAAGCUACACAUAAAAAUCUUUGGAACACAAAACACAGUAACGAUAACCGAGAUAUAAGGCCUGAC
rnacentral:lncRNA from 1 species